UGGGGAAUUUUGGACAAUGGGGGAAACCCUGAUCCAGCCAUCCCGCGUGUGCGAUGAAGGCCUUCGGGUUGUAAAGCACUUUUGGCAGGAAAGAAACGUCAUGGGUUAAUACCCCGUGAAACUGACGGUACCUGCAGAAUAAGCACCGGCUAACUACGUGCCAGCAGCCGCGGUAAUACGUAGGGUGCAAGCGUUAAUCGGAAUUACUGGGCGUAAAGCGUGCGCAGGCGGUUCGGAAAGAAAGAUGUGAAAUCCCAGAGCUCAACUUUGGAACUGCAUUUUUAUCUACCGGGCUAGAGUGUGUCAGAGGGAGGUGGAAUUCCGCGUGUAGCAGUGAAAUGCGUAGAUAUACGGGAGAACACCGAUGGCGAAGGCAGCCUCCUGGGAUAACACUGACGCUCAUGAACGAAAGCGUGGGGAGCAAACAGG
rnacentral:rRNA from 1 species